rnacentral:rRNA from 1 species
CGGAGUGUUCAUAUCAGACUGAACGAGCCUUUUUUCGUCCGCUCUCGGAAGCCUACCAGUCCUGAGCGCGACCAGUAGUGGAUUCAGUGAUGACCUGCGAAGCCCCCGAUGAUCUAUUUUGC